GAAAUGCGAUAAGUAAUGUGAAUUGCAGAAUUCAGUGAAUCAUCGAAUCUUUGAACGCACAUUGCGCCCAUUAGUAUUCUAGUGGGCAUGCCUAUUCGAGCGUCAUUACAACCCUUAAGCCUUGUAGCUUAGCGUUGGGAAUCUACCCCUCACUGAGGGGUAGUUCCUUAAAUUUAGUGGCGGGGUUAUAGCACACUCUAAGCGUAGUAGUUUAACUCGCUUUCAGGGAGGCUGUAGCUGCUUGCCGUAAAACCCCCUAUAACUUAUAGUGGUUGACCUCGGAUUAGGUAGGAAUACCCGCUGAACUUAA
rnacentral:misc_RNA from 1 species